AUUGUACUCCCUCCGUCCGGAAUUACUUGUCAUCAAAAUGGAUGAAAAUGGAUGUAUCUAAAACAAAAAUACAUCUAGAUACAUCCAUUUCAAUGACAAGUAUUUCCGGACGGAGGGAGUAUCAU
rnacentral:pre_miRNA from 1 species